rnacentral:sRNA from 2 species
UCUAGUAUUUUACCUAAUCACAAUCAAGUAUUACUGGAGCGGAGGAACCAAUUAUAGGGGCGUAUCUCUUAGAAAAUUCAAAAUGUAAAAUUAAAAAUUAAAAUAUGUCUAAUUUUUUAAUUUUUAAUAAUUUAAUUCUGAUAAGAGAAGGACAUUUCUCAGUUCGAGCCCGUCAGCUAACUUCGUAGGCAAUGAGAAGAGACUGA